CCGGUUAUAAUUUGGUUCAGUGAUUUGAGGUAAAAUUAAAAACCAAGCUGUCAAAAAUGGUGAAGGUAGGUGGUGUUGGUUUCCAAGAUUCAGUUUAAAGUUGUUUUUGUUCAAUCAUCUUUGUUUUAGACCCAACUGUGGUUCAAGGGAGGCUGGGGACCAACCGUAAAUUCAGACAGGUUUUGAUUGCAACCAUAAUUGACAGGUCCUGGUCUUACCGGAUACUUGUAAUUUGCAGGGCAAUAGUUGGACUUUUAUACUCUAUUCGAGGAUUACAUUAUUCCGUUUUCAGGUGGUAGAAAAACUUAGAGUGGAUUCAUGGCAUAACGGGGACUCAAUUACAUGGACCAUUAGGACAUUCGGUUUUUAUUUUUUAUUUAUUUUUUAUGUUUGAUUUUCAGAUUGUUAUGUCAAGUUUAUGCAUAUUUUUUAUUCUUAUUUUUAUUGAGGUUCAUUUAGGAUUAUUCUAUUUUGUGGGCUAUUUAUAUCCCAUUGGUUUGGAUGAUAUUGAUUAGGGUUGGUUUUUCCGUUUAUACUUGUGACUUGUAACUGGAUUGGGCUUUGAUUUAUUUA